GACGUAGGAUGCAAGCGUUGUCCGGAUUCAUUGGGCGUAAAGAGUUCGUAGGUGGUUUGUUAAGUCUGGUGUUAAAGAUCGGGGCUCAACCCUGGGAGUGCACUGGAUACUGGCAGACUCGAGUAUGGUAGAGGCAAGCGGAAUUCCCAGUGUAGCGGUGAAAUGCGCAGAUAUCGGGAAGAAUACCGGUGGCGAAGGCGGAUCCCUGGACCUGGAUUGACGCUGAGACUCGAAAGCUAGGGGAGCAAACAGG
rnacentral:rRNA from 1 species